rnacentral:rRNA from 1 species
UACAGAGGUCCCAAGCGUUGUUCGGAUUCACUGGGCGUAAAGGGUGCGUAGGCGGUCGGGUAAGUCUGAUGUGAAAUCUCACAGCUUAACUGUGAAACUGCAUUGGAUACUAUCCGGCUCGAGGAAUGGAGGGGAGACUGGAAGUACUUGGUGUAGCAGUGAAAUGCGUAGAUAUCAAGUGGAACACCAGUGGCGAAGGCGAGUCUCUGGACAUUUCCUGACGUGAGGCACGAAAGCCAGGGGAGCAAACGGG